UAUGUGUGAUUAGUGACACACGUACCAGCCCAAACGUCAGAGAUUACAAAAAGCAUAGACCGAGCGUAUUACUCUUGAACUAUUUGAAGAAAUCACCGGAAUGAAGGCCACCAUUUUUUAUCUUCUUUUACUAUCAAGACUCUGUCCCUUGGUUUUAUCUGGAAUUCCGCCACCAAUUGGGAAGGGUAUCAAAUAUGCUUGUACGAACGAUUGCGUACACCUGCCCGCGGGAGCCUCAUGUGGCUGGGGUUGCACAUGCGUACGACAUGGCGUGCACACCCAUUUGAACAUCUGCCUGCCUGAUUCCUCUCCGAGGCCAUUCCGUGUUAGAGGAC